GAGUUUGAUCCUGGCUCAGGACGAACGCUGGCGGCGUGCUUAACACAUGCAAGUGGAGCGACGAACCGGGGCUUGCCCCGGGGCAGAGCCGCGAACGGGUGAGUAACACGUGGGUAACCCACCCCGAUGACCGGGACAACCCGAGGAAACUCGGGCUAAUACCGGAUAUGCCGGCUCAUCACCAGAUGAGUCAGUAAAGAUAGCUUCGGCCUUCGCAUCGGGACGGGCCCGCGGCCCAUUAGCUUGUUGGUGGGGUAACGGCCUACCAAGGCAACGAUGGGUAGCUGGUCUGAGAGGACGAUCAGCCACACUGGGACUGAGACACGGCCCAGACUCCUACGGGAGGCAGCAGUGGGGAAUCUUGCACAAUGCGCGAAAGCGUGAUGCAGCAACGCCGCGUGGGGGAAGACGGCCUUCGGGUUGUAAACCCCUUUCAGUUGGGACGAAGCUUCGCCGGUUAAUAGCCGGUUGGAGUGACGGUACCUUCACAAGAAGCCCCGGCUAACUACGUGCCAGCAGCCGCGGUAAUACGUAGGGGGCAAGCGUUGUCCGGAAUCAUUGGGCGUAAAGCGCGUGUAGGCGGUUCGAUAAGUCCGCUGUGAAAGUCGAGGGCUCAACCCUCGAAUGCCGGUGGAUACUGUCGGGCUAGAGUGCGGAAGAGGCGAGUGGAAUUCCUGGUGUAGCGG
rnacentral:rRNA from 1 species